rnacentral:rRNA from 1 species
GGUGAACGCUAGCGGCAGGCCUAACACAUGCAAGUCGAGGGAGAAGCCCUUUCGGGGGCAGAAACCGGCGCACGGGUGCGUAACGCGUAUGCAACCUACCUUUCACAGGGGGAUAGCCCGAAGAAAUUUGGAUUAAUACCCCAUAAUAUUAUUGGAUGGCAUCAUUUGAUAAUUAAAACUGCGGUGGUGAAAGAUGGGCAUGCGUCCUAUUAGCUAGUUGGAGUGGUAACGGCACCCCAAGGCUACGAUAGGUAGGGGUCCUGAGAGGGAGAUCCCCCACACUGGUACUGAGACAGGGACCAGACUCCUACGGGAGGCAGCAGUGAGGAAUAGUGGUCAAUGGUCGGAAGACUGAACCAGCCAUGCCGCGUGCAGGAAGAAUGCCUUAUGGGUUGUAAACUGCUUUUAUAUGGGAAGAAUAAGGCGUACGUGUACGUUGAUGACGGUACCAUAUGAAUAAGCAUCGGCUAACUCCGUG